GACGAACGCUGGCGGCGUGCUUAACACAUGCAAGUCGAACGGAAAGGCCCUGCUUUUGUGGGGUGCUCGAGGGGCGAACGGGUGAGUAACACGUGAGUAACCUGCCCUUGACUUUGGGAUAACUUCAGGAAACUGGGGCUAAUACCGGAUAGGAGCUCCUGCUGCAUGGUGGGGGUUGGAAAGUUUCGGCGGUUGGGGCUGGACUCGCGGCUUAUCAGCUUGUUGGUGGGGUAGUGGCUUACCAAGGCUUUGACGGGUCGCCGGCAUGGGAGGGUGAACGGCCACCAUGGGCCUGCGGUACGGCGCAGUCUCCAACGGUAGGCAGCGGUGGGGAAUAUUGCCCAAUGGGCGCGCGCGUGAUGCAGAGACGCCGCGUGCGGGAUGCCGGCCUUCGGGUUGUAAACAGCUUUCGGCUGUGACGAAGCGUGAGUGACGGUACUGGAUAAAGAAGCACCGGCUAACUACGUG
rnacentral:rRNA from 1 species